GGGGAUAACAUAAUUUUGGAUGAAUAAAUGAAUAUUUUUUUAUAAAAAUGUAAAGUCACCUUACUUUUUGAUCACACCUCGUAUGUAUAUAUAAUACAUUUCUUUUUAUAUUACAGAUAAUGGAACCAUAAUGAUGUUCAUUAAUGAAACGGAAAAGAAUGAGAAUGAUAACCUUUUAAUAUUGCGAUAAAGACACGGUAGAUGUUCCAGCAGAUUGCAGAAUUAUAAAAUAAUAAUCAAUCUUCCUCUAUCUUCUGUAGAGCUGUGCUUUCUACAACUAAAAGAAUAAUGUCGGUUCGACUGACAUGCAAGGCAAACAUUUUGACAAACAUAUUGUCCCAUAUUGUUCCAAUCUAUUACGUUUUUAGGUCGUAAUGAAGAUAAGGAAAGUAGUGGAUUGGAAAGUGGAUAUCUUCCUGCUUUAUACACUUUGCAAUAAGGUUUUCAAUGCGUUAAAUUAGAGUUCAUAAUUGUGCUGCCACUGCAGGAGUUCCAUAUACUUUGAGCACCCUUUACUGCAUUUAAGCACGACGUUGCGGAAGUUAAUCACGUGGUAUAUAUAUAUACGAGGUGUGUUCAAAAAGUAUCGCGAAUUUUGAAUUUUCGCGGGUUACGUAUAUUCGAAUUUCGAUCUUUUUGUGGCGUUAUGUUGGUACUCAUGUCUCU